CACAGCCACCCCCAGCUCACACGUAUAGUUUAUGAUUGAUAACUUGGCUGCAAAAACAAAUUCAGUUAUCCAGGAGGAGUUUACUGUCUGUACUCAUGUCUGGAUCACGCUAAUGCCGAAUCCGGAGAGUUCAUAGUUUAUCAUUUGUUAGGACCACUCUGUUGGAGGGCAGAUAGCUCAAUACUAAAAGCUCAUUAGUUAGUUCAGACUGGGAAGGUUUGGAAGUGAAAAUUUCUGGGUUUGUGCAGCUUUGGAUAUUAAGUGAAGAGGAACUCUGAAGACUGUCUGGAAGAUGAAAUGCCUUAACAGAGACUAAGCUACCUACAGUAAAACAGGAAUAUUGCCAUAUACUGAUGGGAAGCAUAAAAAUCUUAUCUGUGUUCACUGAAGUCAUCUAUUGUUGUCAUCUUCCACUAAUAGUGACUUGAAUAAGAGAAAGCACUAUUUAAAAAGGAAAAAAACAAUAUUACAUUGCCGCAUUUCCUGUUUUCUGUUAGAUGCAUUUGAAGAAGUGGGAAAGAUGUUAGCAGUUAAGUAGAGCAUUACAUGAUUUACUUUAAUAUGGACCUUUGGCGAUUAAAAGAGGAGUAUAUCUCCUUUCACAGAAAGUGGAGACAUGCAACAGAAUUAUUCCCCUCUCUCCUCUGAGCUGACAUUGAGGUUCCUGUUACAAGUCUGUUAAAUAUCAUUUGGAAGAGGCACAGUGUUCUGCAACAUAUGAACACAGUGUUUGUUUCCUUAGCAAAUUGGAUGGGGAACAGAAAAGAAGGAUGAGACCUGUUGGGCAUGGAAGGUGACUUCUUAGUGUGAGAGCCAUCUACUAUCUCAAGGCUCUAUAGAUGCUGACAUCUGAGAUUUACAUUAAGAAGAUAUGAACUUUCUUUCAACGUAGUUUCUUAUUUAGAGAGGAGAUCUGGAAAACUUGCUCUGAGAAGAGUCUAAAACUUCAUUUGUAUUAUCAAGUCUUACUGAAAAAGUAAGGUGAAGUCUAUUUUAUAAAAUAUUGUUUAAAGUCCUGCAAGCAAUUUUUUAUCUUGUAUUCAAAGGCACGAUGGACAUGAUUUUGGGGUACAUUAAUUAAUUUAAAGAGUUCUUUUGUUAAAGCUCUUGUAAAGUCUAUACUAAUACAUCUAAGGCUGAUGCUCUUCUAGCAUCUCUCCCGUGAGCUGAGUGAGCAGUUCAGGUACUGAUUAUUCAGGAAAGAGGAUGGUUAUCGGUAUGUGGUGGCAGUGAUUGUUCCUAGACACUGUAAAUGCACUGUGAUAUUAUUAAAUUCUGAGGAAGAUCCUUUAUGGACUUCGACUCUUUGCUGACUUGGAAGAGAUAAGUUUCUCUUCUGAGAAAGUGUUGGAGCAAUGAAAUAUGUAUUCACACUGAUCUCAGAGAACAUUUUUGUUAUUGCUAUCAUUAAGUAACAUAAAUAAGCCAUAAUAUACAUUCUCAUUAAACUAUAACUCAUUAAAGUUCUUCUCUUAA
ensembl:lncRNA